UUUAUUUAGAUUUAAUGAGUUACAAUGGGUUUCUAAGUGUUCGGUGGCUGCCUCUAAUCAAGUUGAGAGAGUACUUUCUCUUGCACUCUUUGUAUGACAAACCUUACACAGCAAAUGAAAUACACUCUCAACCUGACUAGCGGUAGCCACUGAACACGUAGACAAAUGCAUUGGGUACCAUACCAUGGUGGUAUGGAAAAACAGCCGUGAAACACAAAAGCAUCUACUUGGCUAUUACAUGACAAGUGGAAUCGCACUUCCUCUCUGGAUUUCAUUGUUAUCCUGUGAUAAAGCUGCUCAGUAUAAUUAGGAUAAAGAACUGGCCUAUAGAGUCCAAUCAGCGCAUCUGUAAGAAGGCUGGGUACGACAGCGCAAGCACGCAUCUGCACCACUAUGCUCGUCUGUACUUGUGGUUCUGGAGCUUUCAACUUCACCUCACCGAUUCUGUAACGGCAGCGCAUCACACAGCACUGCCUGUUACACUCAGCAACACCAGCCUGUUCGGUGGUCGUCUACUUAUUAAAACAAGGAAAGACUGAGGCUGCUUGUCAUACAAUAGCUCUGACCAGAGGACUCGUUCAGAGUAUACUGGGGACAGUGAUGCUGCUCGUUUGAUGCACCCUGUUGUUGUCAAGCCAAGCCCUUUGUGACAGUCAUGUUAACUAAAGAAUAAUGUUGGUUCUUGGGGAAAGGCUCCAGCUGCUUUGUUCUAAUUGAUUAAAAAGGAAUGGGCAAUGGAAUUGGAAUUGACAAACAGGAACUGGCCCAGACCCUGUUGGUAACUACGCUUGAGCAAGAACCCAUAAACUUCCUGUAAACCUGACAGAACAGUGGCAUCUGAAACAAGCAAUCCCAUUGGUUACUGCUCGAGAACAAACAAUCCCAUUGAUUACUGCUCAGGAACAAGCAGCACCAUUGGUUACUGCUCAGGAACAAGCAAUGCUAUUGGUUACUGCUCAUGUUAUUUCUCUAGAAGUGCAUGAGGUUAAGAAACAAACACAGUGGUUCACAAACUGGGGGCUGUGAGAUGGUCAGAGGGGGUGCCCCAGCCCAUGCAG